CUACAGAAACUUCACCCACAGCUACCAUGACUUUGAUCCCCGUCUUCAUCUGGACACUGAUCCUCUGGACUCAAGAAUGCAGAGGUCAAGUCACAGUAACUCAGACUCCUGCAGUGAAAUCUGUUCUUCCAGGAGAAACAGUCACCAUCAACUGUAAAACCAGUCAGGCGGUGUAUAGCAACAACCGCUUACACUGGUAUCAGCAGAAAGCUGGAGAAGCUCCUAAACUCCUGAUUAAAUUUGUAAAUCAGUUACAGUCGGGUUUUCCAGCUCGUUUCAGUGGCAGUGGAUCUGGAUCUGAUUUCACUCUGACCAUCAGUGGAGUCCAGACUGAAGAUGCAGGAGAUUAUUACUGUCAGAGUGAACAUUCCAUCACUGGCUACUGGUUCACACAGUGAUAUAUAGUCGUACAAAAACCUCCGUCAGUCAGAUAGUAGAGAAACUGCACUGCUGCAGCUGGGAGCGACUGCAGGUGCUGAGUUGGAGGAUGUGAUACGACACAAUGACAC